rnacentral:lncRNA from 7 species
AGGUUUCAUUAUGUCAUGAAGACAGACAGAGAAAAGAAUUAAAAGAGGCAGAGAAGAUAUUCUCAAGAGGAGUAAGACAUGACAGCAGCUUAUCAAGUGGCUGAGAAACUAUCUUCAUAACCAUAGAGCCAUGUGUAUCAUCUCGAGAGAGAAUUUCCUGAUCAGAGGAAAUUGCAGUUACUACAUUUUCACACGUCUUCCUGAACCACAUUAAAAUGACUUUAAUGACUUGGAUGAAUGGCACAAGGAGUCAGCAGAGCUCACAAAGAAUCCAAUGAGUUUGUUGCUCUGAACUGUAGUUCUGUUAACAAAAUGAGAUAUGAUUUGCCUGCAUGUUCUCAAAAGGGUUGUUUCUUGUACACAGGGCUUCCCACAGAAUAUAAAAGCAAGAUAAUGCUGUUUAAGAAUUGUUUCAUAAGUGAUAAAUUACGCAAAUUUCUUUAGACUAUGAAUCACUGAAUAAUUUACCAGAGGAUAAUGAUGUAUGCCUCAAUAAAAAUGUUUGGUAUAAUUACAAAUUUAUUCACAAGCCACUUAACUCAUGCUCACUGAAGAUAUUUUGAUAUGCUUUUUUUUUUUCCCCCUAGUUACUUUAAUUUUUCCUACUUUAUCAAAUCUGAACUUUGCUCUGUAGCAUAAUAAUAAGUAAAUUACUUUCUCAGAUCUUGAUAUAUUUCUUAUUCUUAAACAAUGUCUAAGGACCCAAUGUCCUCAACAGGAUUCCAGUUUCAAUGCAUCCACAAAAUCAUACUGUGAAAUACAGAAAGAUCUUCUAAGUAUUUACUCAUGUGCUAAAAGCUAUGUUUCUGUAAUGGUGCUGAAAUCAAUGCUGGAGCUGGAUGCAGUUGGACAAAAAUCUUGCUUGUGCAGUUGUUAGCCAAUAGCUAGAGCAUGUCCUACUUCCUACAGUGCAUGGUUACAAGAAGAUCUAACCAAAAAUUGGAUAUAAGAAGAACACUCAUGUAGCACCUGCAAGAGAAUAAGGCAGCUUUGGAGAACAGUAGUAGUGGCAGUGCAAAGUGCCUGUGUUUCCUUGUCUAAGGUUAGCAGGUUUUAAUUUUGAGGCAGUCACAGUGACUGUAUUUUCCACAGAUGGGAAGAAUGAAGGAUGCCUUUGUUUUGCUCACACUGCGACUAAAGUAAAGCUUGAGAAUAAAGUUCCAAAGGG